rnacentral:lncRNA from 1 species
UAUCUCCACUGCUCUCACGUCAAUUACAAACACGCUUCUCAUUCUUCGGUAGCUUCAAACAAACUGACCCACUAUAUUCAUAGCUCAGUGCUUCACUUGAUCUGAACUGCUCUGCCUUGCAGGUGGCGAGUCCGAUCCGUCUCAUUAAUCACCUGUAUCGGGUCAUCGCAACAGCCUAAAAUAAAACACGUAUCAAUUACCAUAAAUAUAAAUCUAGAGCCAAUUCGACCCAAUCAAGCGAAAGUCUAGAAGGACCUCAUUCUUUUCUUCUU